rnacentral:rRNA from 1 species
AUUGAACGCUGGCGGCAUGCUUUACGCAUGCCCGUCAAACGGAACCACGCGCAUCUGCCGUGGCGGCGAGUGGCGAACGGGUGAGUAAUACAUCUGAACGUGCCCAGAAUUGGGGGAUAGCUCGGCUACAGCCGGAUUAAUACCGCAUACGACCUGAGGGUGAAAGCCGGGGAUCUUCGGACCUCGCGCUAUUGGAGCGGCCGAUGGCAUAUUAGCUAGUUGGUGGGGUAAAGGCCUACCAAGGCGACUAUCUGUAACUGGUCUGAGAGGACUACCAUCCACGCUGGGACUGACACACGGCCCAGACUCCUACGGGAGGCAGCAGUGGGGAAUUUUGGACUAUGGGCGAAAGCCUGAUCCACCAAUGCCGCGUGUGUGAUGAAGGACUUCGGGUUGUAAAGCACUUUUGGCCGCAACGAAAAGGACUGUGCCAAUACCACGGUUCGAUGACGGUACCCGCAUAAAAUGCACCGGCUAACUACGUGCCAACAGCCGCGGUAAUACGUACGGUGCAAGCGUUAAUCGGAAUUACUGGGCGUAAAGAGUGCGCAGGCGGUUUUGCAAGACCGAUGUGAAUCCCCGGGCUUAACCUGGGAACUGCAUUGGUGACUGCAAGGCUAGAGUGUGUCAGAGGGAGGUGGAAUUCCGCAUGUAGCAGUGAGAUGCGUAGAUAUGCGGAGGAACACCGAUGGCGAAGGCAGCCUCCUGGGAUAACACUGACGCUCAUGCACGAAAGCGUGGGGAGCAAACAGGAUUAGAUACCCUGGUAGUCCACGCCCUAAACGAUGUCUACUAGUUGUCGGGGAUUAAUUUCCUUGGUAACGCAGCUAACGCGUGAAGUAGACCGCCUGGGGAGUACGGUCGCAAGAUUAAAACUCAAAGGAAUUGACGGGGACCCGCACAAGCGGUGGAUGAUGUGGAUUAAUUCGAUGCAACGCGAAAAACCUUACCUACGCUUGACAUGUCCGGAACCCUGAAGAGAUUUGGGGGUGCUCGAAAGAGAGCCGGAACACAGGUGCUGCAUGGCUGUCGUCAGCUCGUGUCGUGAGAUGUUGGGUUAAGUCCCGCAACGAGCGCAACCCUUAUCAUUAGUUGCUACGCAAGGGCACUCUAAUGAGACUGCCGGUGACAAACCGGAGGAAGGUGGGGAUGACGUCAAGUCCUCAUGGUCCUUAUGUGUAGGGCUUCCCACGUCAUACAAUGGUCGGUACAGAGGGUUGCGAAGCCGCGAGGUGGAGCCAAUCCCAAAAAACCGAUCGUAGUCCGGAUUGCAGUCUGCAACUCUACUGCAUGAAGUCGGAAUCGCUAGUAAUCGCGGAUCAGCAUGCCGCGGUGAACACGUUCCCGGUUUU